rnacentral:rRNA from 1 species
UACGUAGGGGGCAAGCGUUGCCCGGAUUUAUUGGGCGUAAAGAGCGUGUAGGCGGCGAGUUAGGUCCGUUGUGAAAACUCGAGGCUCAACCUCGAGACGCCGAUGGAAACCAUCUGGCUAGAGUCCGGAAGAGGAGAGUGGAAUUCCCGGUGUAGCGGUGAAAUGCGCAGAUAUCGGGAAGAACACCCGUGGCUAAGGCGGCUACCUGGACAGGUACUGACGCUGAGACGCGAAAGCGUGGGGAGCGAACAGG